AUUUAUUUAGUAUAAAUAGUACUUUUGACUUCCAAUCAAAAAGUCUAAAAUAUUUAGAAUAAAUA
rnacentral:tRNA from 1 species